GAAGAGAUUUAGAAAUGCUGUGAUCUUCCCUGGAUCGCUGUUGGCACCCAGAUGUCUGUGAUAGUCAAUCACUGCUUGCCCCGCCCAUUCUCCCUUCUCUUUACAUAAAAGAAGCCUGAAUUCUAGGCUCUCUUAAGAUGGAUUUGAGGAACCACCAAGGCCCCUAUCUUCUCAGCCUGGUGCCUUAUUGAUCGAUAAACCUUUCCUUACCCCGACCUCUAACAUCUUGAGUAUUGGCCUUUUGAAGCAUUGGGCACAUGAACUCUUGAACCGGGCGCUACAUCUUUCCUUGUAUAUAUUGGCAUGAAAGAGCUGGAACAAGAGUGAGUCGGUGUCUUCUCACCAGCCCCAGCAGUGUUUACCGGUGCUCCUCACAGGUUGGAUCCAAUAAGAAGCAAGAGGGAGAGGAGCCUGUCAAUUCAGCCUACCCACUAUUGCAAUACAACGUUUCUAGGUACUGCGCUUCACUUCGUUACUCAG